rnacentral:rRNA from 1 species
CUACGGGGCGCACCAGUGGGGAAUAUUGCACAAUGGAGGAAACUCUGAUGCAGCAACGCCGCGUGGAGGAUGACACUUUUCGGAGCGUAAACUCCUUUUAUAUAGGAAGAAGAUGACGGUACUAUAUGAAUAAGCGCCGGCUAACUCCGUGCCAGCAGCCGCGGUAAUACGGAGGGCGCAAGCGUUACUCGGAAUCACUGGGCGUAAAGAGCGUGUAGGCGGAUUAAAAAGUCAGAAGUGAAAUCCUAUAGCUUAACUAUAGAACUGCUUCUGAAACUCUUAAUCUAGAAUAUGGGAGAGGUAGAUGGAAUUUCUGGUGUAGGGGUAAAAUCCGUGGAGAUCAGAAGGAAUACCGAUUGCGAAGGCGAUCUACUAGAACAUUAUUGACGCUGAGACGCGAAAGCGUGGGGAGCAGACAGGGUUAGAUACCCUUGUAGUC